UACGAAGGGUGCAAACGUUGCUCGGAAUCACUGGGCGUAAAGCGCACGUAGGCGGACUCUUAAGUCGGUGGUGAAAUCCUGGAGCUCAACUCCAGAACUGCCUUCGAUACUGAGAGUCUCGAGUCCGGGAGAGGUGAGUGGAACUGCGAGUGUAGAGGUGAAAUUCGUAGAUAUUCGCAAGAACACCAGUGGCGAAGGCGGCUCACUGGCCCGGUACUGACGCUGAGGUGCGAAAGCGUGGGGAGCAAACAGG
rnacentral:rRNA from 1 species